AGACGAACCGUCCAAACGUUAUUCGGAAUCACUGGGCUUAAAGGGUGCGUAGGCGGCGCGGAAAGUUGGGUGUGAAAUACCUCGGCUCAACCGAGGAACUGCGCCCAAAACUUCCGUGCUCGAGGGAGAUAGAGGUGAGCGGAACUUAGGGUGGAGCGGUGAAAUGCGUUGAUAUCCUAAGGAACACCGGUGGCGAAGGCGGCUCACUGGAUCUCUUCUGACGCUGAGGCACGAAAGCUAGGGUAGCGAACGGGAUUAGAAACCCCAGUAGUCC
rnacentral:rRNA from 1 species